AUGCAUGAACAUACACCUUCCUAUGUUCAUUGCCAAAUGCAAACAAUUUGCAAAGUACGUACAACACACACGAGCAUGCUCCGUCGUCAUCAAAGCUGGCCGCCAUUAAUCAGUCUCACAACCUUUUUAUUCCCCUCAGAAUGUACCCUAGUAAUGUCAGAGUGCUACCAUGCAUUGAUGGAGCUAGUGGUGGCCCGGGGGAGUGUAGAUGGGCGUGCCGUACUCCGGCGGGCACUCUGGCGCCGGCGGCGCUCCGUAUUCCGGCGCCGGCCGUGGGUACACCGGAGCGGCAGGAGGGUACGUCGUCGGUGUGGGCGUUCCGUAGACCGGCGUGGGGGUGGGAGCAGGGCACUGGCAUCCCGGCGCCGGGGUCGGGGUGCAGAGGCAUCUUGGUGCCGGCGUCCCGUACACCGGCGCCGUCGGUGGAGCGUAUACCGGCGAUGGAGUCCCGUACACCGGCGUGGGAGGAGGGAGCUGCGGCGUCGGCGGCGCCACGUAGACCGGCGUGGUGGUUGGAGUCGGGCACUGGCAUCCGGGCUCCGGGGUCGGGGUGCACAGGCAGCUCGCCGAUGGAGUCCCGUACACCGGCGUCGGGGAAGGGCAUUGGCAUCCCGGCUCCGGAGUAGGGGUGCACAGGCAUCUCGGCGCCGGAGUCCCGUACACGGGCGCCGUGGGUGGAGCGUACAGCGGCGCCUGAUCGGGAGGGCAGUCCGGCGUCGGCGUCCCAUACACGGGCGCCGUGGGCGGAGCGUAUACGGGCGACGGCGUCCCGUACACGGGCGGAGCAUACACCGGCGUCGGCGUCCCGUACACGGGCGCCGUGGGCGGAGCGUACACCGGCGUGGGCGUCGCGUACACUGGCGGAGCGUACACCGGCGUGGGCGUCGCGUACACUGGCGGGGCGUACACCGGCGUGGGCGUCGCGUACACGGGCGGGGCGUACACCGGCGUGGGCGUCGCGUACACGGGCGGGGCGUACACCGGUUUCGGCGUCGCGUACACUGGCGGGGCGUACACCGGCGUGGGCGUCCCGUACUCCGGCGACUCCGGAGGGCAAUCCGGCGUUCCGCACUCCGGGGCCGGAGGCGGGAAGUAUUCCGGCACGGGCGUCCCGUAAACCGGCGUGGGAUAAGGGCACUGGCACCCGGGGGCCGGGGUAGGGGUGCACAGGCACGCCGGCACCGGCGUCCCGUACACGGGCGGAGCGUACACCGGCAUGGGCUUCAUGCGCCGGUGCGCGAAGAAGGGCUUCCUGCCGAACGCGUGGCACGGGAAGCAGAUGUUGGCCGCCGCGCACUCGGGCGCCGCGGCCGAAGUCCGACCUCGCGUCGCCUUGCCGGCGACGGCCACGAAGGUGCCCUCGCCGUCACCCGCGCCCUCGGACGGCAUCGGCACGAUCCUCGACGGCUCCUGCCCGGGGCAUGGCUCGCCGCUCGCCGCGCUCUGGAGCUGCGCGAGGCACUCGGAGGCGCCGGCGCCGGGCGGGAGCGGCACGGCGAAGGCGCCCGUGCCGUCGAGGCUGGCGACGGCCUUGCUCUCGUUCUUGCACGUGAUGGCGACCUUGAGGCCCCUGAAGGCCGCCUCGGCGCCCAAGCUCUUCCUCCCGCAGCCGGCGCACUGGGCCAUGCCGACGACGACGACGGCCGACGUGUCCCCGCCGCCCUCGCCGCCCGCUAUCAGUGCCCCAGCGCAGACGAUGAGAACGCGGAGCAGCAGCCUCCCUCCAGCUCCUUCCAUGGCGCCCAUCUCCACCUAUCUAUCUACCCGCUGAGCUUCCGCAACAACCACAAGUGA
rnacentral:rRNA from 1 species